rnacentral:rRNA from 1 species
CAGGGUCUAAGCACAUGCAAGUCGAACGCCCUUCGGGUGAGAGACAGACGGGUGAGUAACACGUGGGAACGUACCCUUUGGUUCGGAACAACUCCGGGAAACUGGAGCUAAUACCGGAUACGCCCUUACGGGGAAAGGUUUAUCUGCCGAAGGAUCGGCCCGCGUCUGAUUAGCUUGUUGGUGGGGUAACGGCCUACCAAGGCGACGAUCAGUAGCUGGUCUGAGAGGAUGAUCAGCCACACUGGGACUGAGACACGGCCCAGACUCCUACGGGAGGCAGCAGUGGGGAAUAUUGGACAAUGGGCGCAAGCCUGAUCCAGCCAUGCCGCGUGAGUGAUGAAGGCCUUAGGGUUGUAAAGCUCUUUUGUCCGGGACGAUAAUGACGGUACCGGAAGAAUAAGCCCCGGCUAACUUCGUGCCAGCAGCCGCGGUAAU